rnacentral:rRNA from 1 species
UACGGAAGGGGCAAGCGUUGUUCGGAAUCAUUGGGCGUAAAGGGCGCGUAGGUGGUUCUGUAUGUCUACCGUGAAAGCGUACGGCUCAACCGUAUUUUGUCGGUAGAAACUGCAGGACUUGAGGCUGGGAGGGGCUGGUGGAAUUCCCUGUGUAGCGGGUGAAAUGCGUAGAGAUGGGGGAGAACACUCGUGGCGAAGGCGGCCAGCUAGACCAGUUCUGACACUGAGGCGCGACAGCGUGGGGAGCAAACAGG